UCUCUGGUAGCUCAGAUGGUAAAGAAUCUGCCUGCAAUGCAGAAGACCUGGGUUCGAUCCCUGGGUAGGGAA
rnacentral:tRNA from 1 species